UAUGCAGAUCAUAUAAGCAGCAAAUUCAUACACAAACCUCAACAAUCCCCUCUCUGCAUUUCACUUUUCCAACACUCUUUUGCUCAAUCAACCAUGUCGGACAAGUGCGGCAACUGUGACUGCGCUGACAAGAGCCAGUGCGUGAAGAAGGGAAGCAGCUAUGGCCUUGUCAUAGUGGAGACUGAGAAGAGCAACAUCAACACUCUGGUGAUGGAUGCUCCAGCAGCAGAGCACGAUGGGAAGUGCAAGUGCGGUGCUAGCUGCGCCUGCACAAACUGCACCUGUGGCCAUUAAUAAGCACACACAUAUAUAUACAAUACAAUAGUGAUGGGCAUGUAUGUGGGAUCAUCAUGUGCCUCAUUAAUAAUGUGGUUGUGAUGAAUAUGUGUCUUUCAUCACACUGCUUUGUGCUUUCUUCUUUCUUCUUUGUUUGUGUGUCAGUCAAGUCAUGUGUACGUGUCUGUUUUCAGCUUUCAUAGUCAUGUAACGGCCAUCUCUGUGGCCUUGUGUUGUUAAAUGGAGUUGUGAUAUAUUUAUAUAUA